AUUGAACGCUGGCGGCAGGCCUAACACAUGCAAGUCGAGCGAGCGGCGGACGGGUGAGUAAUGUCUGGGAAACUGCCUGAUGGAGGGGGAUAACUACUGGAAACGGUAGCUAAUACCGCAUACCAUCAGAUGUGCCCAGAUGGGAUUAGCUAGUAGGUGGGGUAACGGCUCACCAAAGCGACGAUCCCUAGCUGGUCUGAGAGGAUGACCAGCCAAACUGGGACUGCGACACGGUCCAGACUCCUACGGGAGGAAGCAGGGGGGAAUAGUGCACAAUGGGCGCAAGCCUGAUGCAGCCAUGCCGCGUGUAUGAAGAAGGCCUUCGGGUUGUAAAGCACUUUCAGCGGGGAGGCGUUACCCGCAGAAGAAGCACCGGCUAACUCCGUGCCAGCAGCCGCGGUAAUUC
rnacentral:rRNA from 1 species